UCCAAAGGCUCCUGCCUCUUCAGAGCAAAUUCAGUUAAGGGCAGGGGGAGGGCGCACUAAUGGUUUCCACAUUUGGGGCCCUCUGUGGCGAGGACUCUCCAGCUCCAGGGCAAGGAAUUUGACCUUGCCUCCCAGCAGAGCCCUGCUCUAUGCAACGCAAAUGUGUUCACCAAACACCUCUUAAGAUUGAGGGUCUUAGGCCUUGUGGACUGGAUGCUGAGGAUGUGAUAAACAAGCAAACACAGAUGGACCCGCCUGGAGCUUACCACUGGUGGGAGAAACAGAAAAUGUACCAGAAAAAUCACAAUCCAGAGUAAAGAAGGCUGCGGGGGCUGCAGGAGCACGGAGAAGACCACCUACAUCUACCCACAAGUGCUUGCUGAGUGACUGCCCCAUGCCCAGCCUCGUUCCUGGAAACUGCUGUGAUAACACUCCCUGGGUGAGAACCAACACUCGCUGACCUUUUACACGGGCAGAAUCCGCAGGAAAAGAGUGCUAUGAAAACACCAACUAUUGGGCAGUGCACAUCCUGAAGAAUCUGCCACAUCCUAGGUCCUCAAUAAAUCAUGGAAUGAAUGCAUACAUUUUCUUGAAUAAAUGAGUGUCUUACACACAGGCCAACAUAGGUAAGUACUAGUUUCUCUCAGCUUGGUGACCUCUAAUAAGCUAAUUUUGGUUGAGGUGCCAAUAGGUGAUAAUAGCUGAAACUGGUGUCAUUCAUCAAGGUACGAUGGACAUUUUAAUGGCAACUUUCGGCUAGUCAGAUAAAAGUAGGCUUUUUAAUCUUACCAUGGGACCUGCCAGGCGAAAAGUUCCUUUAGCUUCAACAAGGGGAGGUGGAGGGAAGAACAACAGUUGCUGGGAGGGGAGGGGAAAGGAGGGGCGGAGGGAGCAGCGACGACCGAGGUAGGAGACAAGGGUUCAAAGACCCAGACGCUCCCUGAUGGCAGGUUCCGGUGUUUUCACGACUCACUGCCCAGAGCCUAGGACCAUCCAGGUGCUUAACUUUUGGUGAAAAACACUGGAUGAGAGUGAAAAAGGAAAAGGGGGCGGGGCGAACAAAUCGGGAAGGGGAAAGAGAGAGAGAUGAAGAGCGAAAAUCAGAGACGGAACUCCAACAAAGACAGAGGCGGCAGCCAAAGGCAGAGACUGGCGCCGUGGGGCAGAGGGAGGGACCAUCCCGGGCUGGAGCCCAGCGCGGGGCCCCAGGAGCCUGGGCGCAGCCAGGGAACCCGGCGAGGAAGCGGGAGGCAUCCUGAGCUCGGCGCCUCCGCCCGGGGCCCCAGGCCGCCCCCAGUGGGACGUGGCGGCGGAAGCUUUCAGAGUGGCAUGUCUCAAUUGGAUAUGAAAUGGGAGAGGGCAAGGAAACUGAGAGUGACUCAAUUGCACCAUAUCAUGGGGGUUCUCCAGACAUCAUGUCAUGUUACAGAUAGAAAAUGGGAGCUCCAAGAGGACUCUGCACAGUGCCGAGAAUGUAACAUGAACUCAAUCAGAGAUGUGUCGAAUAAUGAGUGCCCAGACAAUGAUCUUCUCAUUGCUGGAAGCGUGCAAGCAGAGUGGAACCACCUCUUUAUAAGUGUGUUUCAGG